rnacentral:rRNA from 1 species
UACGUAGGGCGCAAGCGUUGUCCGGAAUUAUUGGGCGUAAAGAGCUCGUAGGUGGCUUGUCGCGUCUGCCGUGAAAGCCCAUGGCUUAACUAUGGGUCUGCGGUGGAUACGGGCAGGCUAGAGGCUGGUAGGGGCAAGCGGAAUUCCUGGUGUAGCGGUGAAAUGCGCAGAUAUCAGGAGGAACACCGGUGGCGAAGGCGGCUUGCUGGGCCAGUUCUGACGCUGAGGAGCGAAAGUGUGGGGAGCGAACAGG